UGAAGCUUCAUCUCACCACCACUAGCUAUCAGCUUCAGAAUAGUCUGAGGAACAAACACUCCUGCAAACACUAUCUCCUCAACCACAUGCCUGUACUAGAUCUGGCAGCCAUUUUGUAGUCUAGGCCCAGCUCCUGGAAGGUACCAUUCUGCAGUGCCACAAUUCAGUCGCACCGACUUGCGUGCCUCUCGCAAGAGUGAUCACUAAAAGAUCAAGGUGGGCUGACUGCAUUCGGCGCUCGGGAGUACGACGAUUACAUUGAAGCUAAAAAAGAAAGGUGGUUUAUGGCGUUGUCCAGGCCUGCGCAAUUCUCCGCUGGGAGAGUGUAUUGGACCUAUACGUAUAGGAAAAGAUGAAACAAAGUUUCAGUCAAAUCGCCGUCAGACUGCCGUUAUAAACAUGAAUUCAAACCAAGAAGAACAAAGAGAAGCUGUUGGGGAUGUUUCCUUUUUUUCUGUGGAUAACUGUAAGUAUUUGGUGUUUGCAGUUAUAGUAUUAGUUAAAGUAUAUUACAGUUAUAGUUAAAGUUUUAGCACCAGCUUAUCAGAGUGCUGAAAAGUGGAAUUCAGAGGAAACAUGACCACCUGCUGCAAAACAAUAACACAAAAGGUACAUUAUUUACAUUAUUUUUAUAUACAUUAUUUUUCCUAACAGUACCAACUGAAACUCAUCAAUCAGCUAAUCUUAAAUAUAUAUGAUAUUUUUCUUUUUUUUUCUUUUUUUUCUAUUUUCCACCUUUUAUCAUGCAAGUUCUUAUGAUUGAUUGAUAAAUAUAUAAAUAUUUUGCACUGUCACUGCAGGUCUUGACUCUGGAGUGCAGCAUUACUUGUUUGGUCAUCUACAUUCAGAUGAAAACACCACACUUCUCUCUAAUUCAAGUAAGUUUUAAGAUUUGAUUUAAUUGUGAGAGAUUCUUUUCUUUUUCCUGUUGUACUGUACUCUCCACAGGUCUAAUAAAUGUUUCACAUCUUAGGAUAUCAAGCCUACUCAUCGCAAAGAGAGUUAGCAUCAAAAUGGAUGUGUCACUGACCAAUAACACAGAGAUGCCAGAAGUAUCUGUUUGCAGUCUACUUUUUGUUCAGUAUGGAGCAUC